UCACACACACACACACACACACACACGUUGACAGUGGGCUGCUACUCCUGCACAAGAUCAUCACAGACGGCACAGAGCAUCGAUCAGUCCGCACACACACCGCGUGCGCCCCAGAGUGAAGUCCUGAUGGAAACCAUGGCAACGUCUUUUUAGCACGAGGCCCAGUGACGCACUGGUCGUCUUCGUCUCCUCUGUGAAUCAUGUCCUCCUCCUUGUCCUCCUCCCCGUCCUCCUCGGAGCUGCCCUACUUUUGUCCCCGCUGCGGCGACAAGCUCCGCUUCCCGUCUGUGCCCGACCUCCGGGCUCACCUGGUCAGCCGACACACUUACGAGACCCUGCUGUUGCUGUCGCAGGCGCGGGUCAGAAGCUCCGGACCAGAUGUUCUCCUCCCACUCCUCGGCUCCGCUGCGUCCCACACACAGAGCUCCUCUCUGGGCACGGACGCUCACGGCACCCCCCUGCUGCUGACCUGCCUGGAUCUCACCUCGUCAUCCGCCUCCGUCCGGCUGCUCAGGGAAAUGUUUAGCUCCUCAGAUCACGUUCCCUCCUCCUCAGCAGGUCCAGAGGAACCAUCCGGUGCUCUGGCUCUGCCCGGCGCUCUGGAGUCUUUCCGUCGCAGAGACGUCGGCGUCCUGGACUUCGGUCUGUCAGUGGGGAUCGGGCUGGAGGAGCGACUCGGACUGGGCCUGGACAGGAUGAUCGCCCGCACGUUUGCCGAGGUGGAGGAGAGGGUGCAUCUGCGCAUGGGCCGACUGAGGGUGGAGCUGCAGAGGAGGGAGGCGGAGCUGGGGCGGCAGCGCUCGGAAGGGGAGCGGCUGAGGAGUGAGAAACAGGAAGUGGAGAAGAGGGCAAAGUACCUGUCCAGACAGGUCUCUGCUGCCGUGGAGCUGACGGAGCGCUUGAAGAACGAGCUGCAGGAAAAAGAGAAGGAGCUGAACGAACGACAACAGGAAAUGGAGGACGUGGAGAGUUUUCUGAGAGCGAUGGCGAAGAAAGAAGCGGAGGCUAAGAGCAGACUGCAGGUGUUUAUUGAGUCGUUGCUGGAACGAGCCGAUCGAGCGGAGCGACAGUUACUGCAGCUCACGCAUCGGAACCCCUACGACAAAACGUAUGCGUAUACUGACGCGUACGCGGCGAGGGAGGAAUAUUUACCUGUACGCGGUGGAGGAGGAGGACGCAGUCUGGACGGCAGCGCGAGCGACGUCGGUACAGACAGAACGCAGGGAACGAGCAGCAACCGGAGGAGCUUCAGUCUUUCAGGCUCCCUCAGAGAGAGAGAUGGUCUGUACCAUCAUCACUACGGGGGUCUCACGGGACACAUGCGGACUCUGUCUCUGUGCUCCGGAGGCUGGAGCAGCGAGGGAGCGCUGGUCCAUCUUCACCCUCCUCACUGUCCCGCAGCCUGGACUCAGAGAGACGGGGGAGGAGGAGGAGACGACAGAAGAGAGAGAUUAUGGGUCGGGCAGGAGGGCUGGGGUCGAACGUGGAGUAGCAACAAUCGCCGUCACUACAGCACUGAAGAAGAAGAAGAUGAGGAGGAGGAGGAGGAGGAGGAAGCCUGGAGCAGCUCUGAGAUGAAGAGGCUCGUUUUCACCAGGACACAAACACUAGGAUCAGACAUCCUCUCCUCCCUCCGCUCCACUCCCUCCUGUUGUCAUGGCGAGAGGCGGCUGGGGGCGGAUACCUUGAGGCUGAGGGCAGGGCUUUUCUGCGUCCUCCCGUAUCUGGACGUGCGCUCACUGCUGCGUGCCGCCGAGGUGUGCUCUGAUUGGCGCUUCGUUGCCAGGCACCCGGCGGUCUGGACACGCCUCCAGCUGGAAAACGCCCGCGUGUCGCCCGAGUUCCUGACCACGCUGUCUCAGUGGUGUACGCAAACUCAGUCUGUGAUUCUGAACAACCUGAAGCCACGAGGUCGACGAGUCGAUGAGACGCGAGAGGACUAUCACAUGAACACGAGAGGCAGCGUGGAGCCGGGUGUGGAGGCGCUGCUGCGGUCCGCAGGGGGCAGUCUGCUCCACCUGUCCGUCUCUCAGUGUCCUCACAUCCUCACUGACAGGACGCUGUGGUUAGCGAGCUGCUACAGCAGGAACCUGCGGACGCUGACGUACAGGAGCUCUUCACAUCCUCUCGGUCAGGAGGUUCUCUGGGCUCUCGGUGCCGGCUGCAGGAGCAUCAGCGGCCUGCAGGUGGCGCCCGCUCAUCCCUGCCAACAACCAACGCGAUUUGGAAACCGCUGCUUGCAGACGAUUGGUCGAUGCUGGCCACACCUCCGCUCACUCAGUGUGGGUGGGGCCGGCUGUGGGACUCAGGGAUUGGUUUCCGUUGGUGAUUCGCACCUGUGCUCACCUGCAGGUGUUGGAGCUGGAGCGCAUUACCAACCUCAGCCUGCAGGUGGCGACCGAGCUGUGCGAGGCCGGACUGAAGAGUCUGCAGACGCUGAUCCUGACGCACACGCCCGUGAGCGGACAGGCCAUCCUGCAUUUCCACAGUGUGUGCGCUAAUAUCAGGUCUAUCAGGGUCGAGGUGUCGGUGUCAGAUUACUUUGAGGAGCCAGAUUCUCCCGAAGCUCGACGACUGUUUGGGGAAAUUCUCAGUACGUUAAAGGUUCUCCAGAUGCAUCCAGGACUGUGUGAUGUCCUGCAGGUUAAAGCUGAAGGAUUCUGCUGACCUCAGCACACACACACACACGUGAGGCUGAAAUGUCCCCACAAAUCACAACGUCCCUACAAUGUUGGUUACUUCGCGGUCCUCACAAAGGCAGCAGUAGGACAUACACACACUCACAUGUCGGUACUUGUGCACCCGUGAGGACGCACGUUUACCAAUGCUGGGGCCUUGAGGAAAAACAGAUGCUUGGCUAACACGGAUGCUUACAUUAGUUAAUAUUAGCAUUUACAAGCUACAGAUGCUAAGAAUUUACCAAGCUAGCAGAAACAGUAAAACAAAUGACAAAAAGAUCAGGACCGAACAAACCCCGAUCUGUACAAAACCCUUUACAUGAAAGUCCCUUAGAAUAUUUUUAAAUUUUAAUUAAAUAUUUAAUUUAAAUAUUUCCUCCACCUUAAGCAGAAAACACCCUUUAUUCUUACUCUAUUUUGUCAAAAUCCCUUUCUUUAUUUAAGACAAAACAUCAAAUUCCCUUUAAAAAUAACCCUUAUCCACCAUUAACAAACCCUUUAUUCGUAGCCUUUAGUUUGACGUACCGGCCCUUUAAGCUAACAGUAUUGUCAUUUUUCUACAUAUCUUUCUUCUACUAAACUAAGAAAACCUUUAAUGUCACUAAUUAUUAACUGUAAUAAGUGAACUUUUCCUUUGGGUUUUUCUUUAGCGUUAUCAUUUACACAUAAGCACAAGCACACACGAGUAUGCACAAAUAUUUUUGCACAAAAAACCCCACUGAUUCAUACACCAAAGACAAUCAUUCAUUCAUUCAUUAAAACACGCAUUGUCUAUUGUAUGUAAACGUCCAUCAACAAUGUCUUCCAUUGUGUUUGUUGGUAUUCAGGUGCUACGUGUCAUUUUACCGCCAAUAAAACAUUUUAAAUAAG